GAAGUUUUGGUUACUUUUUCCUAAAGAUGAACCAGAAGUUUAAUAGGAUCCCUGUAGAAUGUUUCAAAUCCAAGUUCCUUCUGGACUAUCCUGCAGGCAAGUUCAGGAUUUGGAUUGUGUAGGAAGCAGUACUAAAUACCCUGGUUUCUGCAUCAUUUGGAUUAGCAUCUUUCAUUACUUUUGAAGCCCAAACUUAGUGGUUGGAGGAAAAAGAAAGGUAAGGUCUGUCUACAGUGGUGACAUCAGACACAUUUGGCUGGUCAGCACUGCCAGCCCCACCCAGCUUGCUGGCUGCAGUGUUCAGAGCAAGGGAGGCAGCUGGCCAGCCCCUGGCGAGGCAUUAUCAGGUGUACAGCUGUGGGCUCUGGCACAUUGCUGCCUGAGCUUGGUGGUAGCCUGCCAGCCUCUGAAUGGCUUGUGAUUAGGAUAAAGUGUCCAGCAGAUGGGGCACAUUUAAGCCAAGCUGCUGUGGUCAGUAGCAGCCAUUUUUAUCACUGUCUUACUGAUGGAGAUUUAAGUGCUAACGUGAUUUCUUAAUUCCUUUGGCCCCUAGCCUUUAAGGUGACAAUCAGCUUUUGUGAGCUCUCAACAACUUUUCUUUUUAAAGUCAUAAUUUCCCCAAGCCUCUGCCUUUGCUGCCAAUAGUUCUGGGACCGAUCAUGUCAUCAUUAGAACCCAAGGUAGGUUUGAAGCUGAUUUGCAUUUCCUGUUCUUCUCAUAUGCUGUCAGAACUUGGGCUGUUCUGCAUCUGAGAGAAAAUUUCAAAGCCAAGAUAACUGUUAAAGUUGUGAGUUGGGGUGGUGGGAGAAAGGAAUGCUGGAUAAAUCCACAAGAAGGUGGGAGCGUUUGGGGUCUCCUGAAGUGUGAUGUCAAGGUCACCAGGGUAUCCAUUCAUGGCCACAGGGUCAAUGAGUCCUGAAAUUUGAGACCAGCAAAGAAUCAUGCGUUUGUUGACUUAAGGGUUUUCUUGUAUUGAAGAGCAAGCACUCCUGGGAGGGUUAGCCAGUUUAUCUGUUUUCAGACAUAAAUGUACAUGCAUUUAUCAGGUCACUUGCUGAAACAAGGUUUUGUUGGAAGGGUGAAGGAGGGAGAAAGAGGCCACUGGACAUCUGGGUGAUGUGAAGAGUCAGGAAGGAGAUGGGCCAUGGGUACAAGAGAGUAGAGAACGUGAGGCCACCAUCAUGUAUUUUCCUAGGCUUGGCACCAUAAUGGGACAGUGAUGGAAAACCAGGUCAUCUUGGAUGACAGUGACAGUGAGAAAGAAGAGGUGGUUAGAAUUCCACUCUUCUAGAGAGAGAUGGGGGACAAUCCCUCAUACAGCUUAAAAUACAGCACCGUGUUGAUUAGGGUCCAAGGGCUUUGUCUUAUAUAAUUUUUCUCCGAGUGUAAAACACAGCCUGAUUCUUUUUAAUAUAUUUUCCCUCCCCUUUCUUUCCCCAGCCCUCACUCAACACAGCAUCUCAUAGACCAUUGACAGAAGCUUAGUCCCCUUCCUUGGUUCUCCUGACACCUUAUUGGAAGUCGGACAAGGGCUUUUCCACAAGGUCAUGCCCUGAGUACUGAUUAGUGGAAAAUACAAUGCUACACUUACAUUUAAAAUAACAGGCGUGGGAGUUCUGCUGUGGUGCAGCAGGUUAAGGAUCCAGCAUUGUCUCUGAGGCAGCACAGGUUCGACUCUUGGCCCAGUGCAAUGAGUUAAGGAUCCAGCAUUGCUACAGCUGUAGUGUAGGUUGCAGCUGUGGCUCAGAUUCAAUCCCUGGCCCAGGAACUUCCAUAUGCUGUGGGCAUGGCUGAAAGAGGAAAAAAAAAAAAAGAAGUAAAUAACAGGUAUGUAUUAUUCUGUAGCCCUUGGGUUGUAAAUAUUAUCUUGUCUCCUUAAUUUCCCCAAAUUAAAUUAAAAUUUGCCUGUGAAAAUAAAAAAAAAUGGUAAACUUACAUUAUUGCAGUCUCAGUUAAAACAGAAAGAAAUAAAGUUAUGAUGCCUCUGAUGAGGUCAAACUUUGAAAUAGAGUAAACUUUGUUGAUAAAACUGGUUCAAGAAUUCAAAGUGCAGGGCCAAGCAGUUCCCUAUCUCAGCAAGUUAAGGCAGAUUGAGUUAAGCAGGCAAGUUAAGCAGGCUCAUAUUUGGUGGUUCAUAAAACACAGUGGACUGAGGACCUUUAGCCCAAGAUAGAAAACUCAUCUUUUAAGUUUUUUCAUUUUCAGAGUUCCCAUUGUGGCUCAGCGGUAACGAAUCUAACUAGUACCUAUGAGGAUAUUAGUGAGUUCAAUCCCUGGCCUCACUCAGGGGGUUAAGGAUCUGGCUUUGCCAUGAGCUGUGGUGUAGGUCGCAGAUGCAACUUGGAUCCCACUUUGCUGUGGCUAUGGUGUAGGCUGGCAGCUACAGCUCCAAUUCGACUCCUAGCCUGGGAACUUCCAUACGCCAUGGGUGUGGCUCUAAAAAGACAAAAAAUUUUUUUGGGUGUUCUCUGACUCUUAUAUACAUAAAGAUGGUUCUUCCUAAAUUUUGAUUAAUUAUGGGCAAAGAAUCCUUUGGGUAAGACCUGGCCUCUCCUUCAGAGAUUAUUUUGGGAUAAUUGUCACCCAAGGUUGAAACCUACAAUCAUUUGUCUGCAUUAACCUCCAAGUUGGUUGAAAAGUAGGUGUUAAAGGAAACUGUAUUUGUUCCCUUAAACUUGUAAGCCCGGUACUAGGAAGUUGAAUUUAUUCCCUAACAAAAGUCUAUCUCAUUUUGCUGGCCAUAAUAAUAUAAACUAGGUAAGUUUCUCUGUUUAGAAAAAUAUUUCAGAAUUCAGAAUUUCUUCCAUAAGUGUCAGCUCUACAAGUAAAAUAAGACUUUAUGUCCAAAGCCAUAAUUCUCUUUUUUCACAGCUCACCCUUCUCCCCAAGAUGAGGGGAGGGGGGGUCUAGUCUUUCUUGAAGGUCUUUCCUGCAAGAAAUAGGAUAAUAGAACCCUGGAGAGCUUAUAAGGGCUGAAGUGAAGCCUGUCAAACCUUGCUGUCAAGCCUGCAUGACAGUACCAUGCUUCCAGGGUGCACUCAGCCAUGAACGCCCCAGACAUUGAUACCUGGUUUUAUGACUGCCACUGAGCAGAUGUGGGGGACUGGGAAAAUUCACAUACUCCUCCUUAACUCAGACACAAGAGCCUUCCUGAACUCAGUGAGAUUAGUAUGGGUAGAUGGGUCAGUUGUCCAUCUGCAUCCAACUAGGACUCCGAUUGGUUUCCCCUAAAUUAAAGUGAAAGUCAAAGUUAUGUAACGAAUAUAGGCCACCUGCUACAAUCACCUAACAUGCUCAUCACUACUGUGUUCUAGACUCUUAGCAUAAAAAUAGCUUAGUAAAUAGUGUGUGUGUUGGGGUGAAGCGAGUAAGGAGUCCUUCCAGGAUUCACGUGUCCUUAGAACUCAAUGUCAUUUACAUACUGCACUGCAUGUUCUGAAUUCUUGAAUAAUACCCAUUAGGCUUAUUAAACCCACAAGUGAUCAUUGCUAGAAAUGAUACCUUUAUUCUCUCGAGAUAUCCAGUUCGGCAAAUCAAAUAUAUGAAGUUUUGUUUUUUGUUUUUGUUUUUUUGUUUUUUUUUUUGCUUAUAUUGAACUGCUGAAGAUAUACUGCAUUAGAGAAAUAUGCAUUUAACAACCACUGAAGUUGAGUUUUUGGCUCAUGACCUUCAACUGAGACUGCUCAUUGGACUUCUUCACGGUCGAUGUCGUUCUCAGAAGGAAGCUGGUUUUGCUGUGCCAAGCCCUUGUCCCUGGGUCUCCUGUUUUUCGUGCCACCCAGGCUCCUCCUGCUGUGGUCCUGUGUCUCUGUAUCUGGUUUUUGUGGAUGCUUUGCAGUCACCCAGGGCCCAGGCGGACUGACUGCAGGAAGCUUGUGCAUGGGAAGCAGAGACCAUGGCAGUGCAGCUGGUGCCCGACUCCGCGCUUAGCCUGCUGAUGGUGAGUGCUGGGGGGGAGGUGGGGCCCAGGCAGCGCCCAGCUCCAGCCUCUCCUGCAUCACACACCCUGGGCUGCCGCCCGCUGCUGCUGCUGCUGCUGCUUCAGUAGCAGCAGACAUGCUCACAAUUGCUCUGCUUUAUCCCACAGGCUCUUUUGAAAUGAUUUCUGGGCUAAGAGUCUUAGCCAUGACAAAGCACUCCCAGGGAAAAGAAGUAUUCGAUUUGCCAUUUUAGAAACUUGUUGCUUAACGCUAUUUUGAGAGAUGUGCUUGCAAACAGGUGCUGAGAGCCCCUGGAAAUAGAUUCCCAGCAACGCCUCCCCCUGGCUCUCAGCAUCCUUUCCCGGUGCCUUUUGUAUCUAAAUCGAGGUGAUAAUGUUUGUUUGUUUGUUUCUGUCUCCUCCUGGCAACUGUGGAGUUGUUCACCCACAGGGUGAUUGAAUAGGAUUUUCUUUCUAGGUGCCUAUGUGUCUGCUCAGAUUUCCCCAAAGAAGCAGCCGGGGGGCUUGGCGUUGGCCUGUUGUCACACUUGGGCUGCAGAAUUGGAGGAAGCUUAUUUCCACAAUUGCUUGAGAGACCCUGGCAGGCCUUGUAUGCAUCACAGACCUACUUUAAGUUGCUCUGUGAUUUCCAUCAUAUUAAGAAGGCCUCUGUUCUUAGCAUAUUUAAGCACACAAGGUCAGUGGCAUCGCCUUGGUUUACCCUGACCGACCUUUUACUAGACACCAGGUUCAGAGUUGGCUUUUGCGGUCCUGAUGCUCCACCCUCCUCCUCACCCAAUGACCCACUUGCCUGGGUGAUGCUGAGGGAGGCAGCCCCUUGGGGUAUGAAUGGAUCUCACAGUUACAGGGGCGAUUUCACACACACACACCAUAGUACUUCCACUAUGUAUAUUGACCUAUGUUUUGACUGAGAAAGGGUGGUGCCACUUUGUGAGAUCUGGGGGGUUUAUUAAGGCUGCUCAGAAGAGGAGCUGGGAGUGGGAGAGCCUGUCUACUGGGUGGCCACCCGGUCAAGCUAACAGACCUUGGUUCUGUGGUACCCCCAGUGUCAUUGAGGCUACAGAGGUAUUUGAAAUGUUUGAAAUCUCAUGGGCCUCUGCUGACUUACGGUUUCACUAGGGGAGAAGGACUGGGAAGAACAAAAGUUGUUUUCUGGAAAAAGUGCCCUUUUUGUGUCUUCCUUCCCUCUUAGAUCCUAUUGUCUGAUGAUGCUUUAAUCUCUAUUAUCUACCUGUGGUCAUGUAUGUAGAUGGGGUUCUGAGUGUUUGUGACUAGGGCAGGCACCAGAGUCACUGUGAGGACUCCUGGGAAGCUGACAAGUCUGGGCUAUAUGCAAAAAAAAAAAAAAAAAAAAAA
rnacentral:lncRNA from 1 species